UCCAACCCAUUUACAUGUUGAUUUUGGGAGAGUAGCUUGAGAUAAAUACGUUUGACUUUGAUCGACAUAUGGUUUAACUUAUAUAGAACAUUUUGACAUGUUUCACAUUAGAGAAUUUAUAUUAAUGUCUUAGAAUUUGAAUUUUUGCAUGUGCUCCUCUCUUUAUUGAUUAAUCAUAUAUAUAUAUAAAGACACAUUCUAUAUAUUUAUAGAUCCAAAAACUUGCUUUAUCCCAUAAAUUGUCUAAAAGAACUCAUUAAUUUUCCAUUAACCAUAGUGGAAUAUCAAUUUUGUUUGUUCCUCUCUUCACUCGGCUCUUUGGAGCUUCUAACUGGUUGGUUACAUUACUUUCCAAUGGUAUUGUCUCUAAAUUCGAGUCAAAUCAAGAUCUCAAUUCUAUCAUCAAUGGCAACAAGAAAUUAAAAUUUUCUGGUGGUGAUGGUGUCGAGAAGCACAAGUGGCUUGUGAGAAGUUGCUGAGGAUUGACUAAAGAGUUGAAUUGAACAAAAAA
rnacentral:lncRNA from 1 species